rnacentral:rRNA from 1 species
AACUAACGCUGGCGGCGUGCCUAACACAUGCAAGUCGUACGAGAAAGUUGGCUUCGGCCGAUGAGUACAGUGGCGCACGGGUGAGUAACGCGUGGAUAAUCUGCCCUUAAGUGUGGAAUAACGUACCGAAAGGUGCGCUAAUACCGCAUAAUGCCUGGCAACAUAAGUUGUCCGGCCAAAGAAGGCCUCUGCUUGCAAGCUUUCGCUAAAGGAUGAGUCCGCGUACCAUUAGCUAGUUGGUGGGGUAACGGCCUACCAAGGCGACGAUGGUUAGCUGGUCUGAGAGGAUGAUCAGCCACACUGGAACUGAGACACGGUCCAGACUCCUACGGGAGGCAGCAGUGGGGAAUUUUACGCAAUGGGCGAAAGGCCUGACGUAGCGACACCGCGUGAGCGAAGAAGCCCUUGGGGUGUAAAGCUCUGUCAGCUGGAACGAAAAAAAUGACGGUACCAGCAGAGGAAGCAUCGGCUAACUACGUGCCAGCAGCCGAC